rnacentral:rRNA from 1 species
GACGAACGCUGGCGGCGUGCCUAACACAUGCAAGUCGAACGGAAAGGCCCUGCUUUUGUGGGGUUCUCGAGUGGCGAACGGGUGAGUAACACGUGAGUAACCUGCCCUUGACUUUGGGAUAACUUCAGGAAACUGGGGCUAAUAUCGGAUAGGAGCUCCUGCUGCAUGGUGGGGGUUGGAAAGUUUCGGCGGUUGGGGAUGGUCUCGCUGCUUAUCAGCUUGUUGGUGGGGUAGUGGCUUACCAAGGCUUCGACGGGUAGCCGGCCUGGGAGGGUGAACGGCCACAUUGGGACUGAGAGAGGGCCCAGACGCCUACGGGAGGCAGCAGUGGGGAGUAUUGCACAGUGGGGGGAAGCGUGAUGCGGCAACGCCGCGUGCGGGAUGACGGGUUUCGAGUUGUGAACCGCUUUCGACUGAGACAAGGCGUGAGUGACGGUAAUGGGUAAAGAAGCACCGGCUAACUACGUG